rnacentral:rRNA from 1 species
UCCGUAGGUGGAUAAUUAAGUCAGAGGUGAAAUCCUGCAGCUCAACUGUAGAAUUGCCUUUGAUACUGGUUAUCUUGAGUCAUUAUGAAGUAGUUAGAAUAUGUAGUGUAGCGGUGAAAUGCAUAGAUAUUACAUAGAAUACCAAUUGCGAAGGCAGAUUACUAAUAAUGCACUGACACUGAUGGACGAAAGCGUGGGGAGCGAACAGGAUUAGAUACCCUGGUAGUCC